CGGUCUCAUUCUCCUGCGGCGCACCAAGGAUAGAGUAGGUAAGUCAUUGAUUCGAUCUAUCACAGUAAUCUAAUCUAGUGUAAUGUGGGGUGUUCUUUUAUAGUUGCAAUGUUUGUGGUGUAACUGAAGUAAAGUGGUAUUCUUAUUUUAUUUUAAAUGCGAUUCUGUAAGAAAGGAGUUGAUCAUUCGAAGUACGGCCCACGUGUUACAGGCCUCGAAUGAGCGUUAAAAUUCUCUUUGUAAUUAUACUAUUUAUCUUAUCAGAUAUGCUUCAAAUAAGUUUUAAGUGCAAGAUUUUAGUACUUUAACUAAAAAAAAAAAACACGCUUAAUUCAAUUUUCUUCCACGUGCUGUUGAAGCGAGUCAUUACCUCAUGUACGCAUGCGUGAUGAUACAUGAUGUUGGUAGGGACAUCUGAAAAUACUUGAUGAGAACCAACAUCUCUGACAUGCAUAGCUACGCUCCGUGUGCAGGUUUGCUGCAUGUUAAGCGCUAAGCCUUUAAGGUUUUUUUUCUCUCUCUCUCUCUCCAGGUCCAUUAUUCUGAGGACUGAUAAACGCGGGAGACCGCUGGAGUGUUGUGAACCUGGAAAGCAGUGUCAAAGGAACAUGUGCAGUGCAGUUAAACUGAAAGGUAAGCAUUUUAAAGUGCCUCCUAAGCUGCAGUCAUUCACUGUUCAUGAUGAUUGUUUUAUAAAACAAUGGGAAUCUCUCUGAAUUAGACUGAAAGACAUCUGUGUACUGAAACAGUGCUUGUUUAAGACCUUGUCCUCUUUGUCUUUGUUCUGUACUAACAGCGUUUUAUUAUUACAGGUGGUUUAAGAUGUUGCAACAGGAGAGAUGACGAUGCCAUCAGCUGAGCAUGGUAUUAAUUUAGCGUUUUUAAUACUUGUCUUUCUGUGAUGCAAGUGAUGACUGCAUAGUUCAGCAGAAAAUCCAUGA
ensembl:lncRNA